rnacentral:lncRNA from 1 species
CAUUUAUACUUCUUGAUCUCCAAUCUUUGCCCUUAUAUCAUUUGGACCCUCAUUCCCACUGAACUUGCACUCCAUAUACUUUGUCUUGACCUACUUAGGCAAAGACUUUUAGAUUCUAACACUUCUUGUCAAAAGUUAAGUUUCACAGUUACUUGUAAGGGAGAUGACUUAAGUUUGAAUCUUAGAAUGACAAGUUUACACAAUUUAUUUCCCUAACCCUUUGAAUAAAUAUAUCGUUGUACAAAAAUGGAAUAAUGUAUUGGAAUAAUGUAUUUCUAAUUAAGUGAAUCCUUAAAAAUACACUUAUGCCAAAGCCUACAAAUUAUUCAGCCAUCAUUUCUUUACUUAUUUAACAAUUAAAGUAUAAUAGUAAUUCUUAUUUUACAUGUAAGUGAUAGACCUUAAGUUCAAAUCUCAUGAAUGAUGGUUCUAUAUAUACCAAUUUAUUCCCCAUGUAAUAUAUUAUUGUAUAAAAAAAAUUUGAAAAUUCGUAAAAGAAAGAAAUAGCCCCCUUCCGGAGCAAGAGUGAAACCAAUGUCGGCUUUAUGUAAAAUUAAGCAGCAAGAACAGCUGCUGCUAGUGACUUGUGAUAAAUAUUAAGUUAUCUUUUUAUAUUUAGAAAAUUGAUAUUGUCACUUUAAAAAUCUCAUUUUGCACUCUAAAUUUUCUAUAAUUAAAAUGAAAAAUACACUUAUGAGAAGUGUAAAAUGAGAAUUUUUGGAGGUCUAAUAACAGUUCCAAAUUUUUAUACGAGUACAGAUAUAUAACCUCAUAUGCGUAAAUCAAGUUAAUAUUUUUUGUGCCCCGAGUUUUUGGGUGCUCAAGUGAUCGUCCUAGUUGGCCUAGGUCAAGUGGGUGUGAUUUGAUGGAGUUGGAAGGGUGUCAAACCAUGAGAGUAAAAUGUUUUAAAUUAUAAAAAGAUAACGCAAAUAAUGUUUACGUUAAAUUACAUGGAUUAUGUGAUAGAUGAUAUAGACUAUCAUGAUAUUGUUAUAUUGAGAACAAUGCAUUAAUGCUGGACCUCACAUUACCGAUAAAUAAUGGAUAUAAUGUAGCUACAAUACAAGAUUGGUGUGGUUGAGUACACAAUAGAGAAAUAAACCAUGACUCAUAAUCCCAUUUCCUAGCUGGGAAUCUCCAAAAGUUUGAGCUUAGUAUUGCAUGUAAUAGGCAGACAAAGACAAAAGGGAGGCAGCAGCCAAAGAUCCAACAUUGGGGAAGCGAGUAAAGGCGGAGCUUGGGGCAGGGGCAUGCGCUGCUGUGUCCUUGGCGGUCGGAGCAUUAGCCUUGGGGGUAGCUGCUGCUGCUGUCUUGGGGGCCUCCUUAGCUGCAGCCAAGACCACACUCAUCAAGGCAGCGAUGACAAUGAGGGUAAGGGAGAUCUUCUUCAUGUCCAUGAUGAUGAAUUUCAACUUUGAAAAUGAUAAUACGUCGAGUUCCGUUCAGAUGAUCUAUGGGAACAAAAAAUACUUGCUAUUUCUGAUGUGGUUUCUUGCAAGGCUGUGGAAUGCAUGCACAAUUAGAUUUAUAAGGCGCCUUUCGGGUUAUUAUUAGAAUGAAACAGUUAUUCUGACAAUUGCUGUUAGUUAACACAGGUCCUUAGACUCCUUACCUGUUUGUUUUUGCAUAGUUUUAGGAAUUGAACGGUCUUUUUUCAUGGACAUAUUUGAGAAGUUUGUGUCUUAAGAACACCAUCACCAUGUCACGUGAUGUUAUUAUCUCAAGUAAUCUAAUAUGAGCAGACACGAUUAAUAUGAUCCACUUUUAUAUAGGGUACAUUAUCAACCUCCGAAAUUUACUUUCAAAUCCCUGCUCGCCUAUGUCAAAUACUGGUAUAAGUUACAACGUUUAUCAUAUUGUCAUCAUGUGAACUAUUAUUUAAAUUUAAAAAAAAAUUAUUUUGCACCGUGACUAAACGUGAAAAAAUAAUUUAUAAAUGCAAGAGUACUUUUUUAAUGCCAAUAACAACCUCUAUGUUGUGGCCUAUAUUUAGGUCAUCUCCAACCGAAGGGUCUAGAGGGUCUGAGGAUCGAAAAUAGCCCUAAAACAGUCUCCAACCGAGGGCUAGGCCAAAGAGCUCGUGGGCCCCACUGGACAAAAAAGGGCCAAAGGGCCAACCGGCCAGCCCAAACCAGCAAGCCAGCUGGCGCUGGGUCGGGCUGAAAUUCAAAUUUGCAAUGGCUAGUUGCUGACGUCAGCUAGCCGUUAAUUUAUUUUUUUACCAUUUUUUUAUUUUUUAUUUUUUAUUUUCAAAAUUUGUUUUAAAAAUUGUAAAGGUUCUUUUUUUUUUCCUAUAACUUCCUAAACCAUUAAACAUUACAUAACAUUAAGUAAUAUGAAACAACAUUAAACAAUAUUAAACAACAUUAAAUAACAUUAGAUAACAUUAAACAACGUAAAAAUUAUACAACAUAAAAAUAAAACAUUUAACAACAUUUUUAAAAACAUUUAACAACAUAAAACUUAAGCAACGGCUAGCUGAUGUCACUUAGCCGUUGGAUUUGAAUUUAAAUUGUAGUUUUUAAUAAUAAAUUAUGUUUGGCCCUAUUGCCCUAUGACCCUUUGACCUUUGGUUGGAGAUGGUAACAAAUAUGGCCCUGCACUGCUCAUUAAAAUAUUAAUUUCUUGGAGGGUUAGAGGGCUAAAACGAGCCUUUUGGCCAGCCUUCGGUUGGAGAUGGCCUUAACUAAUAAGGAGAGAGGCCGGCGGCACAGAGAAAAUAUAGAGAGAGAUAUGUGUUUGUAGGGUUGUGUAGAGGAUGUGUUAUUCCCCCUACGCAGUGCCUUUAUUUAUAGUAAUAAAAGAGAGAAGAAAUCAUUCUCUUCCAAGGAAUACAAGUCCUAAUAGGGAAGAAUAACUAGAAUCAAAUAUAAUCUAGGAUUUACACAAUCACUCUUAAAUAAGAAGUUUACAACACCCCCCCUUGAGUGUGUAAAUACUCAAGUAGAUUAAGCAUCAUGUAGAGGUUGAGGAAGUUGACUCGUCGACACUGAUUCUAGGAACACACUAUUCUCAAAUAAGGUAGGAACUUGCAUAAGGAAUUGAGUCUCACAAAAAACCCUAUGGCUAUAGUAAAAACCCGAGUAAGGACAAAAUCCAUAGCCUAAGAAAAAAUGCAUGAGAAAUGCAAAGUCAAAUGAAACGUCUACGAGUUGUCAUCAGUUAUAUGAUCAACCCAAGGUGGGUGCCUCGUCAAAACCUCAUUAGGUAGCAAAAACCUAGUGGAACAAAUGCUCCUAAUCGUAGGGAAAAAAAGUACAUUAAGAUCAAUCAAGUAUACUUCAAGAUACUCCCUAAAUUUGACACAAUUCCAAAGAGAACUAGCAAGGUUACAACUCCGAAGGUUUAUGCAUACCAAUUCUCUGAACAAGCUUCUAAAACGUCAACUUCAGUAGUGAUUUGGUGAAGAGGUCGGCCAUAUUGUAUUGUGAACGGAUUUGUGUAACUUCAAUAUUCUGAUGCUAUUGUUGUUGAUGUGAUAAGAAGAACUUCGGCGCAAUGUGCUUGGUGUUGUCUUCUUUGAUGUAACCCUUCUUGAGUUGUUCGAUGCAUGCUGCGUUGUCUUCAUAGAUCAUCAUCGGGACAUCAAUGAUGGGGUAAGGAUCGCAUGAACUUUAAAUAUGGCCCACAACUGUUCUUAACCAAAAGCAUUCCCAAGUUGCUUCGUGUAAGGUGAGAAUUUCAGCAUGGUUAGACGAAGUGGCAACUAAGGUCUGUUUAGUUGACCUCUAAGAGAUUGCGGUGCCACCAACAAUAAAGAUAUAACUUAUUUGAGAGUGUGCCUUGUGCGAAUCAAAUAAGUAUCACGCAUCGGUAACAACGCGAGAAUCGACUCGAGAUAAGGGGGUGCAGCAUCACUCGAUGAUUAGUAAAGAUAGAACAAGCCUAAAUCUGUAGUAUCCUUAACGUAACAAAAAUGUCUUUAACUCCAGUUCAGUGUCUUUAACAGCGAAAGAGAUGUUGGUAUAGUGCGUUGAGAUAAAUAAAAUAAAGUGCCUAUUGCAUUUAGAUAAAGAACUUCACGCUCCAAAAUCUCUUCAUCAUCCUCAUUCAGACGAAAGGGAUCUCAUUUUGCAUCUAGCGAUCGAACAACCAUAGGAGUACUCGAAGACUUCGAUUUAUCCUCAUUAAAGCGGCGCAACACAUCUGGGUGUAGUUCAAUUGAUGUACUAAGAUUCCAUCCAAACGUUGCUCUAUCUCGAAACCGAGACAAUAUCGAGUCUUUCCUAGAUCUUUCAUCGUAAAUUUUGACUUCAGGUGUGCGACAAUUCUUGUGAGCUCUUUGGGAGUUCCGAUGAGAUUCAUGUCAUCGACAUAUACAGCAACUAUAGCAAAACUGGAAUGUUACUUCUUAAUGAACACACAAUGGCAUAGUUCGUUGUUCACAUAUCCCUAACUAGUUAAAUAGUCACUCAGACGGUUAUACCAUAUUAUUCCGAAUUGCUCAAACCGUAGAGUGAACACCUCAGCUAAAUUACAAACGUGUUUCAGGGUAUGGAAAUAUUUGAAGUUCUUCGGGAACCUUCAUAUAAAUUUCCGUAUCAAGAUCGCCAUAGAAAUACGCAGUUACUACGUCCAUUAACUGCAUACUCAGUUUUUCGGAAACUACCAAAUUGAUAAGGUAGUGAAAAGUAAUCAUAUCCAUAACGGGUGAAUAAGUUUCGUCAUAGUCAAUCCCGUGGUGUUGUGAUAAAUCUUGCGCAACAAGACGAGCUUUGUAACGCAUAAUCUCGUUCUUCUCAUUACACUUUUGAACAAAAAUCCAUUGUAGCCAACGGACUUCACAUGUGAAGGAGUAGGAGCUACAGAUCCAAACACCUUACGUUUCGCAAGCGAAUUGAGUUCGACUUGGAUUGCUUAUUUCCAAUUUAACCAAUCGGUUCUACGUCGACAUUUAUCAACGGAAUGAGGUUCAAUGUCAUUGAUCAACAUGAUCUCAGUAGCUACUGCAUAUGCUAAUGCAUUGUCGAUAAUCAUCUCGUUUCUACACCAAACAUCAUCCAAGCUAGCAUAAUGGACCAAAAUCUCACGAUUCUCAGGAGGUGGAUUUGUAUCUUCAAGGGCGCUUCCGUAAUCUAGAAUUUCCUCAUGAGUUGGAUAGAAUGAGUAGGCGACAGUCGGAUUCACGCUAGGCUCUUCAGGGGCCUGUGUCGUAGGUUUCCUCUUUUAGGGGUGUGAAUCUUUUGACCUAAGUGGUUUGCCACGCUUUUGUGUAGGGGCAGAUGAUUAGCUAGCCGCUAAUGUAUGUGGAUUGGCCAAAGUGGCGUCCUAGGCCUCCAAGAGAAAAAUUCAUCGUACAUUUGGUACACCCAUCCUUGCAGGCACAUUCAUAGAUGGAAUAUGUGAUAUUGUCACUUGUGCUAGAUCGGUGAAAGCAUUUAGCAUGCUCUGAGCUAUGCUCUGAAGAUCUAAUAUGUGCUGCACUUUAGUUUCAAACUGAGCGGGGCGGGGAUCUAAAUGAGACAGAGUGGGAGUCGUCCACUAUAAUUCGUAUAGUUCUUUAAGAACGUUGACGUUCUUAUCUCUUUCUAACGACGAGAACAAUGUCUCAUAGAAGUGACAAUUCUUGAAACGAGCAGUAAACAGAUUGUCUGUCAAAAGUUCUAAGUAACGAAUAAUCGAAGGAGAAUCAUAUUCAACAUAGAUUCUCAUCAUUCACUGAGGUCCCGUUUUUAUAUGUAAGGGUGGCGAAAUCAGCACAUAGACCACAUAACAAAAAAAGCGCAUAUGCAAUAUAUCGAGUUCGUAUCCGGUAACCAACUGAAGAGUGCUAUAUGGUUAGGUUGCAACAGGCCUUAUGUGUACCAACAUGGCUGUGUGCAAUAUUGCAUGGGCCCAAGCAGAGAUCGAGAACUUGGUACGUAUGACCAACGGUCGAACAAUCAUUUGUAAGCACUUAAUGAAUGCCUCUGCCAGGCUAUUCUGGGUUUGAACAUGGGGUAUUGGAUGUUUAACUUCAACCUCAACUGAUAUGCAAUAGUCAUCAAAAGUUUUAGAUGUGAAUUCUUCAGCAUUAUCCAAUUGAAUAAAUUUGAUCGGAUAAUCAGGGUGGUGACCCCUGAGCUUGAUAACCAGAGCCAACAGUUUGGAAAAUGCAUCGUUCCUUAUGGACAACAAGCACACAUGUGACCAAUGUGUGGAAGCGUUAAACAAAGCCAUAAAAUAUCUAAAUGGUUCACAAAGAGGGUGAAUCGGUCCACCAAUGUCUCAUUGAAUCCUUUGUAGAAAAAUAAGAGGAUUCGAACGAACCUUGUCAUAAGAGGGCUUAAUAAUAAGCUUUCCCAUGGAGCAAGUUUGACAUGCGAUUCCUUGAAUCAAACCUAAACUUUGGGGUAGUGGGGCCUGUGUGAUGAUUUGAGGAUAUGGUGCAUCGCUAUUCAUCCAAGGUGUCCCAAACGAUCAUGCCAAAGUGUAAUUUCGUGCGUGGUCCCAGAGGUAGGGUCGGCCACAUAGUGGCUUUCCAUAGGACGUAUGGUGGUAGUAUACAGACCACUCGGGAUACGCUCUAUCUUAUCUAAAAUACACUUCUGGCCAUAUUCGUAAGAAGUUAUGCACAUAAAUUCAACUCCGUUUUCUACAUAGGUUUCAACGUGGUAAUUAUUAUCUCUAAUGUCCUUGAAACUCAACAACGUUCUUUCAGAAUGUGGAGAAUAAAGUGCCUCAUCCAUGCUCAAAAUUGUACCAUUGGACAACAUUAUACGUGUCUUACCGUAUCAUUCGAUAAGGUUCGAUGGGUCUAAGAGGGUUGUCAGGGGUGCAUUCUUAGGUACGAAGUUAGUGAAAUAAAUGCGUUCACAUAAAAUGGUGUGCAUGGUUGCACUAUUUGCCAGACAACUAACUUUCCAACUAGUCAUACCUAGAAAUAAAAAUUAAUUUGAAUCGGUCACAUGCAUAAAAGUUCUAAAAACAAAUAUCCAUUCAAAAUAAUUUAAGUAUUCAAGGGUGGUAAUUAAUUAAAAACUUAAUAUCCAAAAACAAAUCACCAACAAAUAAUCCAAACAUAAAGGAAAUUGUUCAAAAAUUAAACCAAAAAACAAGGGGGGUUUGGCCACUAGGUGGAAUUCAGCCCUAUUGUCUAAAUUUCAACUAGAAAAAUAGUUAUGUCUAAGUCUUCCAUAAGGGUAAUAGCCUCUUGAAAGUCAGAAACCUUUAUCUUGGUACUCUCUGGUUCAUUUACUUGCACAAAGUUUGAUUCAAAAUUUUUACGACGAGAAUGAUAUUUAGCUACAACCUUUUGGGGAGCUUGGCAAACACAGAACUAAAGGUCCUUUGAACCACAAUGAUAGCACAUGUAUGCAUCCAUGGUUUCAUGUGCUUUAUCCUUAUUCUGAAGUAUGGGGCAUUUGAAAUGAGGUUAAGGCGCUUCUGGGCUUGGUUUCCUCCAUUAGAUGGGCCUUGGCUCUGUUGACCUUGACAGGGUGACUUCUAGCCGCCCCUACCAUGCCUAUGUUGGUGUUUUGAGCGUUGGUUUGUGCCAUAAUGUGCUUCAGGCACAUCAGUCGCCUUAGUAGGUCGAGCUUGAUGAUUUUUCAUCAACAACUGAUUUUGCUUUCAGCGAUAAGUAAAAUAGAGAUCAAAUCUGAAAACUUAGUGAACUUCUGAGCCCUAUAUUGUCGUUGUAGGACAAUAUUAGUAGUAGAGAAGGUUGAAUGAGUCUUCUCCAAAAGAUCCUCUUCGAUUAAAGUCUCGUUACAGAACUUGAGAAGUGAUCGGAUUCGACAAAUUUCAAAAUUAUAUUCAUUCAAAGACUUAAAGUCUUGGAAGUGCAAAUGUUGCCAGUCAUGUCUUGCUUCAGUCAAGAAGAUGUCAUUUUGGUGAUCAAAGCGAUCAGCAAAAGUGACCCAGAGUGAUUGUGGAUCCUCCUCAGCAAGGUACUUGAUUUUCAGUGCGUCAUGAAUAUGUCUUCGAAUGAAGAUCAUGGCAGUGGCUUUCUCAGCUUCGCCAGCUUGGUUGUCUGUCUCAUAUUCAAUGGCAGGACGUAAAUUCUUUGUAAUGAGGUGAAGCUUCACAUCUUGGACCUACUUGAGGUAGUUUCUUCUAGAGACUUCUAAAUUGGUGAAGUUGAGUUUGUUCAAAUUCGACAUGUUCCUAUCACAAAAUAAAUGGACAAGAUGUGGUUAGUGUAAUGGAGAAAAAAAAUAAAUAAAUCCAUUCAUAUAAGAGUAGAACAUUCAGGUUAUAAUAGGCAUGUUUUGGUUUAAAUUUGCAUGAAAAAACUUCAGGUUUUCAUGAGUGAUGUUUUUAAGGAAAACUUUAGGUUUUCAUAUAAGGCAUGUUUCUAGAAACUUUAGGUUUCGAAAUAAUUAUGAACUUCUGGUUCACAGGUUCCUGCAGAUAAACGCAAAUAUAUAUAUAUAUAUAUAUAUAUAUAAAUAUGCAACAAGAAAAUAUGCAAAUAGAACUUCAGGUUUAUAAUUAUAAUUGAAUUAAUUAUUUGGGCUUCGGGCCAAAUUUAAAGUGUGGGUGGAAAAAUUAUAAAACCCAAAAUUGCCUAAAAAAUAGGCAAUUAAACCUUGGGGUCCAAAAACAUGGACCAAAGCCCACAGGUGGGCUAGGAAAAUGAAACCGUGAGCUCCAGGCCCAAAGAAAUUGGGCUGGGUUAGGCACAUGUACCCAGGGAAGACACAAUCUUGUGUGUCGUGGUACAUGGGAGCACCACAGUUAUGCAGAGUUGUAAUCACGUGUGUCACAGUGCAGGUGCAUGCAACAACUCACUAGCUACAGCCUGGAAUCUGGUGUGGUUGCUAUGCACGAGGACACCAUAGCGUUAUUGGUUGGUGUCGAAUUUGGGCCUAGCUAAUGGUUUGGGUAGCUGUAGGCGAGCCCAAAAUGAAAAAGUAUUUUUAGGCUGAGAAAACCAAGGCCCAAUUAGGCUCAAGUUGGGACAAAAAACACCCCAGCUAUAGCUGGGUGCACUCGCUGGGGAAGAAGACCGGCUCUGCCGUUUCAGGUGGUCGUGUUUUGGGACAAAAAUUCUCGAGGCCAGUUUGUGACUCAAUAGGGAUCACGAAUAUCAACGGAGAUGGAGAAAUCUCAACGUUUCAAUCAAAACCCUAGAAAUUCGAAUUGAAAAUUUGAAAAAUCCGACGAGAUUCAAUAGAAUCUCGGUUAAGCGUUGUCGUGGAUGAGCUGCAGUUCGUCAAAACGUUGACCCGUGGGUGAAGAUUGGCUACAGGCCAACUUGCAACAAUUGGGGACGCCGUGGAAGGCGUUGAGGUUUCUAGGUUUGAACAUGGAGCCCAUGGUUCCAGUGGUCUCGCGGCUUGGCAUGGUGUGGCUGGGGAAUCCAGCGGCUCGCAGCUUGGCAUGGUGUGGUUGGGGAAUCUAGCGGCUCUCGGUGGUGACGGGAUGGGUUUUGAGAAACCCUAAUUUUAAUUUUUUUUUAUCUUAAUUCCAGGUUAUGAAUUAAAUCAAUGCAUAUUCAUAUAAAUAAUUUGAUGCAUGAGCAUAUAUUUGAUGCAAUUCAUGACAAUAUUAAAUUAACAUAAUUCAACAAUUAUGGAUAUAAUACAUACACAAUUUAUGUAGAAUCUAAAAUUCGAACAACAUAAAGUUUGGGUCAUGCAUUAUGGUGAAUGUUCAUGCUAUCAGGGUUGCAAAAAUAUCGAGAUAAAAGCCUUUUUUUUUUUAAAUAACCUGAUUGUGUGAUGAUAUUGAUAAACUGGUUUGAUGCAAAAAACCUCCAUGUCAAAUUCUUAAGCGCAGCGGUAUGAGCGUGUUGAUAAAAUGUUGUGGCCUAUAUAUUAACUAACAGGGAGAGGGGGCCAGCGACACAUAGAAGAUAUAGAGAGAGAUGUGUUUGUAGGGUUGUGUAGAUGAUGUGUUAUUCCCCCUACGCAAUGUCUUUAUUUAUAGUAAUAAGACAGAGAAUAAAUCCUUCUCUUCUAAGGAAUAUAAGUCCUAAUAGGGAAAAAUAACUAGAAUCAAAUCUAAUCUAGGAUUUACACAAUCACACUUAAAUAAGAAGUUUAUAACAUUCUAAUAAUUUUUGGUACAGAUUGUACGUAGGGUUUGAAUCUAGGGUUUACAACUUUCCAUCUUGUCACAAUACUAUUUCAGCUAAGACUCAUGGCACAACACUAACAUUUGUUAAAAAGAAAAAACAUUGCAAUAGUGCUUUUACUUAUAACUUUCUAUCUUCAAAUGGAUUUUUGUCAUUGGAGAGAUUGUUCAUAUCUUUAGCAACUGCUUGUAAAUUCUAUUUCGUCAUUAAAAGUUUAUUUUAUUUUGAAGAAAAAUGUGGAAGAGAGGAGGUGGGAGGAAAAUGGGAUAACCGAUAAGGUUACCUAGCUGUAAGAGAUAGGAAAAAAGUAAAGCAGUAAAAUUAUUUUGUUUGUAAUUUACUAUAUUGAACAUAACUUUUAUUUUGAUUAUUUUUCUUUAGUUUUGUUGAUAGAGUUAGAAUGGUAUUUUUACUAUUUUUUUGUUGACAAAGAAUAUUCUAUUAAUAAGUAGUAUAUAUAGUUACUUUUUAAACAUUGGAGGUAAGCGACAAAAUAUGUCAACUAUACAUUCAACUCGUUAUUUAUGAUUAUCAUACCUAAACUUUUUACUUACAAUUCAAGAAGAAUCACUUUUGUAUAGUGCUAGGGUCAUAACAUUUAUAUUGAAUGAAGAGAUAUCAAGUGGUAAAUAUCGAGGCCUGAAAAAAUGGACAUGUGCUAGCGUGGUAUUGGUUCAUGCCAAAGGGGUGGACAUGAGAGUUGAUGUGCGUAAAUUUAGAAAUAAGGCCAAACAUUGCAGAUUUUGGCUAUAGUGCCUAAUUAUAGAAUGUCAUUUAACUUGAGUUUCUAUAGUACUCAAGUGACAUUUAGGAAUGAACUAGUGGCUUUCAACUAAUUAAAUCUAUCAUGUAUCCUAUUAGCAUGCACAAGCAUUUAACCGAAAAGAUGAUACGAAUGGUCUAUCAGAAAUGAUGCUAACUGCUAGGCAUGUUAAUCUCCAACAAAACCGUUGAUUCUGAGCAACUGCAUCAUGCUUGCAUUCGAAACCAUGCAACCUUUCAGAUAUAAACUUAACAAUACAUAUAUAAUUUCCAACAGGCAUGUGACCUAUCGUUUCAUCACGAGUCAAACUUAUUACUUUGUUGUGAUAUAUGUAAUGGCAGAUUCAAGAUUUGAAUUUUGGAGGUCCCUGUUUUUUGUUUUUUUGUUUUUUUGGUUUUUAACAAAAGAGGUCCCAGUGUUAAAGUAUAAGUUUUUUAGAUAGAAACAUAGCACGAAGUGUGCAAAAAAAAAAAAAAAAUCAAUUUAUUCAUUGAGGCAUUUUGUCAAACACUUGGUGAACUUAUUGUCGUCAGCCAAACUAUGUUACUCAUAUGUGAGCAAAUAUCGAAAUUUUCCAAAACAAUCUGAUGAGUGAUAUUGAGAGAUUUCUCAUGUGCUGUCGAUGCAACUUGUUAAGAUAUGCUUAGCAAGUAUUACACCUAGUUGCCACAAAAGGGACCCUUAUCAAACAUUUGGAAGACCUUCAUUAUAUUUUACGAACUCAAGAUGGUCCUGGACCAUCGUAGUCCCAAUGUACAUCUGCCUCUGGAUAUACAGGAAUUCUUAACCGAAUUUCUUUGUUUACUAUCUCAAAACAACAUUCUAGGAUUUGAAGAUAUUUUAUUAUUUAACUGCUUAUUACUAUUAGAUGUCCUAGCAAGUCUAGGGAUGUGAUGCGUUAUGAAAGCAUCCUUUCGUGGUGCUAGGGUUGUUAUCUUAUUUUUCGUUCAUUCAAUAAAUUGAGGUUUUCUCAAUUCUCAAUGUAUAUCAUAGUAUUAGUGGAUUAUGGCUUUGGGGUUUUGUUCAGUUUCCUUUACUCUAGAUCCAUGGCUCACGCUCUCAAUACUAUAUAUAUCACGUUUUUCAAUUUUCCUAUUUACUCGAUGAGCAGAUGCAAGUAUUUAUUGUCCUUAAUAAAAAUCCUAAUAAAAUAUUGCUAGAGGAUUGCAAUCUACAUUCUCUUAAUUUUGAUUAGUGAUCAUCACCUUUAGAAAGACCAUUAUCCCUAGAAAUAAUAAUGAUCGUAGUCACAUUGCAGGAUCAUAAGAAAGAAGAGAGAAGAGAUAACAAAGAGACUGUAGGAAAACAUAAAAAGUAAAAUUGGAAAAGAAAGAACCAUUGGGAAAAAAAGAACGUGCAGUAUUGCUUAUGUUAUUGAAAUGACAAGGUGAUUAUUGGUGUGCUUGAAUAUCCAAAAUAGAUAUAGCUAGACCACCAUGAUCUUUCCAAGCACAUGUUUCACUCUCAUAAUUAUCUCAUUCUUCUUCCACACUUAGCUAACCAAAUCUCCUAAUCUCUGAUCUUAGUACUGCAAAUAAUAGCCAACGAACGAUGAAAGGAAGACACCAGCAAAAGAGCCAACAACGGACAAGGUAAUGGAAUCGGCACUUGAUGGCUUAGGGGCUGAAGCUGAGUCCUUCUGCUUGCUAGGGGCAGGAGCAGCUGAAGCCUUCGGGGAGUCCUUAGCGGCCAAAACGACACUCGUCAAGACAGCAACGACAAUGAUGGCAAGGGUGAUCUUCUUCAUGUCCAUGAUGAUGUUGAUGAUUGAUGAUUGUGAACUUUUGGAGUGAUAGUAAUUAAGUUGGGUGCGUUAGAGAGAUGAAUAACGAGAAAACUUGAUACUUCUGCUCUGUUGUUCAAGGAUUCAAGCGAGGUUGAUGAAUACUGAGCAAGUAAUGAACAAAUUUAUAGGGAACAUGUUGGUUAUUAUUAGAAAGAACACUUUAAUACCAGUUGGUGUUAGUUACGAAUAGGUAGCUAGCUAGGUUUAUACGUGCUUGGUUUUGCAUGGUAAUAGGAAUUGAAAGGUCUUUUUUGGGACAUCAGCCUAACCCUUUUAAAGUUUCAAACUCCUUUCAAAUGUUAAUAGCCAAGUAUUUUCAGGGACAACAAAGAAAGAAACAAAACCAGCAUAGGAAGAGAGGAUAACAAGUCUGUUCAAUGUCUUGCUGACCUAGUGACCUUCGAUGGGAGACCGCUGGACAUGCCGGUCAAUUUCUCAGUUUUUAUUUUAUUUUUUUAUUUUUAUUGCUUAAAUUAAUAAAACAUGAUCUUCAGAUGUAGUUUCGUGAAAUUGUAAAUCUUGAGUGGAUUUAAAAGUGUAACAUUUGAAAAUGAGUACUCAAGAAGUUGGGUGGCUGGAGACUGAUUUUGGGUGCAAAUAGAAUUCUUCUGAAGUAUAUUCAACUAAUAUUAUGCAUUGAAGUUUCAAAACUAGAUAAGGGGGAAGCCCAAUUAAAAAAAAAAAAAAAAAGUACACACAAACAAAUCUUUGGCCUAGCAGUUCAAACUAAAUCUUGUUGGAACAAGUUUAUUACACGUAUGUAUGCAGUUGUAAGUGGCUGAAUUUAAUUUGACUAAGCUAGGAGCUUUGAGCAAUAUAAGCUCCAAAUGAGCAUCUUCACACUUUAUUGUAGGAGCUCACUCUAAAAUUACACUACAAUGUUACAUUAUUAUGAUAAGAUUCAAGUUAAUAACAAAAAUGAAGUGAUUAUUAAAAGGUCAUACCCAGUGCACAAGGCUCCCACUUUACGCAGGGUCUGGGAGAGGUGAAUGUCGGCUAGCCUUACCCCCAUUUAUGGAGAGGCUGCUCCCAAGUCUCGAACCCGAGACCUACCGCUCAUGGGCGAAGGCACUUGCCAUCGCACCAAGUGCGACCUCUAUUAUAUCGUCAAGGUAGGUUUCUGUACUUCAACAUGAUUGAAUUACAAAAUAAACGUUUAUUAUUACACCAUUGGUUUACUGUCAUAGUAUAGACAUGUUGUAUCUGAAAUUGAAAGGAAUAAAGUUAUCCAAAAAAUGUAGAAGCCUUGAGUGAUGAAUGAUUAUUGGGAUAAGUCGCGGACUAAGUCUCUCUUGUUAAGACGUUUCGCGGCUAUGCCCAAAGUGUGCAAGCAGUUCACAUAUACCACGUCAUCCCCAAGAUAAAACAGCUCAGAACCUUCUUCUUCUGAUAAGGUUCUUCCUUGCACAAUAGAAAAACCUUUGAACUCACACCCUUUCGAUAUGUUGCUAUUAAUUCAAUAUAUGUAAAACUUUUAUUUUUUCUUCAUAACCUCACUACGAUUCUAGGGGACGUUAAGGGAGUUAUUUGGGGUUGCAAAACCGUAAGAAAUCAAGAGAGUUAUUGGGGGUGAAAAACCGUAAGAAAAACCGUAAGAAUUCAAAAGGAAAAAACAAAGCGGAAUAGAUCAAAAUGGAAAAAAAAAUCAACACGGAAUGAUUAUGGGAGGAUUAUGGAUAUAGACUUGUUCUUCUUCUCUAUACAGAGAAGGAAUCUCAAAACAUAUUUAUGUGGUGCCAAUUACUCCUUAUUAAGUGACAAGGUUAAUAGCAAUUAACAAUUAUAUACUUACUAUUUUUAAUAAAACAACAUAUAUAUAUAUAUAUAUAUGAAUAUUUAAAUAAAAACAUAACUGCUCCAACAAUCCCCAACUCGUUUUUGUUUAAAAAUUAUAUAUCUAGCAACAUAUCAUAAAGCUAUACAUAAGUUAAGGUGUUUGUCAACUUGAACAUGUACAUAGUGUUAGUGAUCCAGAUUAUACUAGAGUAACUUAUAGUUUUGAACUCUAUCUUUGACAACACCACACACAUAAUUUUAUUAAGGUGAAGUUCAGAAAGCUAGCACAUUACGGCCAUGUGCUUGUAUCCCAAUAUAGCGAACGCUCUAGAAACUUGCCCAAGAUUUCAUAGGAAGCGGCCUCACUUCCACGUUCACAUAGGUAAGACUAUCAAGGAUAUUCCUGCAGCUAGAUAUCCCACUCAACAUAGAGUAUAGACCUUACUAAGAGAAAAAAAAAUCUCAACCUAAAAACGCUUAGAUGUCAUGCUUCUUAGGGAUGGAGAUGAAAUAAUAUUCUAAAUUAAAAUUAGCAAGACUUCACUCAUAUCACUUGCGACUUGUUAUUACCAUUUGAACCUAUUUCUUGGGAUCUCCAGUCUAUAGGUUGGGUUGCUAUCACAAAUGACUCAAUUUUCUAAGGGCUUUAGUCCCAUCCCUUUCGAGGUUUUCCAAAAACUUUUCUCGUGCUAGUCCUUUCGUCAAAGGAUUAGCCAAGUUUUCUUCAGACCGUAUACGAUCCACUCUUACAGCUCAAUUAGAGAGAUAAUCUCUUACAGUGUUGUGCUUACAACGUAUUUGUCGCCUUUUCCCGUUAUAAUAACAGUUUUGCACUUUAGCUAUUGUUGUUGUGCUAUCACAAUGGAUCAAAACUGCUAGAAUCGGUUUCUCCCAUAAAGGGGUAUCUCACAGUAGGUUUCUCAACCAUUCUGCUUCUUUGCUUGCUGUAGCUAGUGCUAUUAAUUCUGACUCCAUAGUAGACUAAACUAAGAUAGUCUAUUUCUUGGACUUCCAUGACACAAUAGUCUGUUUCUUGGACUUCCAUGACACAACCCCACCACUAAUACUAAAAAUAUAUCCACUAGUGGCUUUAAAGUCACCUUCUAGUACAGUGGGAAACUUCUCAUAGUGUAAUAUGAAAUUCAUUGUCCUUUUAAGGUAUCUCAUAAGCCUCUCUAUUGCAUGCCAAUUCUCCAAACUGGGUUUGCUAGUAAACCUGCAUAAAACUCAUACGACAUAAGAUAUAUUAGGCCUAGUGCAAUCAGUAGCAUAACGAAGGCUACCAUUUAACAUUGGCACCAGUGUUCUUGAACAGCUUUACACUAGGACAAUAAGGUGUACAUGUUGGUUUACAAUUGAAAUAAUUAUACUUUCUUAAAACUUUUCUAUGUAGUGAGAUUGAUCUAAAGAAAACCCAUGUUCGGACCUAGUUAUUUCAAGCCAAGUAUUACACUAGCUUCACCCAAGUCUUUCAUAUCAAAAUUAGCACAUAACAAAGAUUUGACAUCAUUCACAACAUGAAUAUUCAAACAAAAAAUGAGCAAAUCAUCCACAUAUAGACAUAUUAUAGUGCAUACAUUAUUUUCAGACUUAUAGUAGAUGCAUUUAUCACUUUCAUUUAUUUUAAAACCAUUCGACCUAACCAAACUAUCAAAUUUUGCAUGCCACUAUUUAGGAGCUUGUUUCAAUCCAUAAAGUGACUUAUCUAACUUGCGAACUUUAUUUUCUUGUCCUAGAAUAAUAAAACCCUCUGGUUGAUCCAUAUAUAUUUCUUCCUCUAAAUCACCAUUUAAGAAAGGUAUUUUAACAUCCAUUUGGUGCACAACAUGAUCAUGAAUAGAAGCUAAAGAAAACAAUACACGAAUAGAUGUUUUUCUAGUCACAGGUGAAUAAGUAUCAAAGAAAUCAAUAUUUUCUCUUUGUCUAUAGCCUUUGGCAACUAGUCGGGCUUUAAAAUUUUCAACUGAAUUGUUAGGUUUUAAUUUCUUUUAAGAAUCUAUUUGCAACCUAUAGUUUUGCAACCAGGUGGAAGAUCCACAAAGUGCCAAGUUUGAUUUGACUCCAAGGAGUCCAUUUCAUCAUUUAUAGCUUCUUGCCACAAAUCUGCAUCUAAAGAUGUUAAAGCUUCUUGAAUUGUAUUAGGAUCUUCUUGUAAGUUAUAUACAUGAAAAUUAGGCCCAAAAUCUUUAGCUAUUCAAGAUCUUUUACUUUUCCUAGGUUCUAAUGCAGAUUCACUAUGUUCUACAACAAUAGGUUCAUAAAUUUUAGAAGAAUUAGAACCCCUACUAUUUCGAAGAUUAAAAAGAAAUUUAUUCUCAUAAAAAUUAGCAUCAAGUGACUCAAUUAUGACAUGGUUUGUCAAAUCAUAAAAUCUAUAUGCUUUGCUAUUACAUGCAUAACCAAUAAAAACACAUUUAUAUGCUCUACCAGCCAAUUUCAAUCUUUUUGGAUCAGGUUUACGAACAUAAGCUAAACAACCCCAAGUUCUGAAAUACAACACAUUUGGUUUCUUAUUUUUCCAAAUUUCUUAAGGAGAAAUAUUCGUUUUUGAGUUAGGAAUUCUAUUUAACACAUAACAUACAGUCACAUAAUUUCACCCCACCAAUAAGAAGCAUCUCCAAAACUAAGUAAAGUAGCAACAAUCAAUUCACAAAGAGUUCAAUUUUUUCUUUCGGCUUUACCAUUCAUUUUAGGAGAAUAAGGAGCAGUAGUUUCAUGAAUAAUUCCAUGAGACUUAAACAAUUAAAAAAUUCAGUGGAUUCAUAUUCUUGACCUCUAUCACUACGAAAUCUUUUAAUCUUACGAUUAAAUUGAUUUACAACUUCAGUCAAGAAAGUUUUGAACAUGUCAAUAGCUUCACUUUUACUUUUCAUAAGAUAGACAAAACAGUAAUUUGAACAAUCAUCAAUAAAGGUAAUAAAAUAAUGUUUUCCAUUUCUAGUUAACACUCUAUCAAAUUCGCAUAUAUCGGAAUGAAUUAAGUCAAGUGGUUCAUAUUCUCUAUUGAUAGAUUUAUGCGAAGUUCUAGUGAUUUUAGCUUGACUACAAUGUUCACAUUUUUCAAAAUCAUUCCAUGAUAAGUUGGGUAAAAAGCCUAAGUUACUCAUGUUCUAGCAUGCCAAGUAAGAAAACAUGUAAGUAGAAGUAGAUAUUUUAUUAGCAUCAACAUUCAGUUUAAACAUUCCAUCAGUAGCAUAUCCCUUUCCCACAGAAACCCCAAUUUUAGUAAGAGUAUACGUAUCUGCUCCAAUGGUUUGAGUGAAUCCAGCCUUGUUGAGAAGGAGGCCCGAGACCAGAUUCUUCCUUAUAGCUGGAGCGUGCAUCACAUCUUUCAGUAUCAUGUUUUUUCUAGAGGUGAACUUCAACUCUACCUUUCCAAUACUAGUAACAUCAGUUGAGUACGAAUCACCCAACAACACCUUACUUCCCUCAGCCACAUAAUAGGUCUUGAAAAGAGAAGGAACGUAGCAAACAUGGCGAGAAGUGCCAGUCAGUGGCGGAUCCAAGAUUUCAAGAUUGGGGGGUCCAAGAUAAAAGUUCAAAAAAAUAUUAGACUAAUUUAGUUCCAUAUCACUAUUUUCUAUUGAAUUUAGUUCAUUGAAUAAAUCAAAUUAAUCUCAAAGGUAAUAAAACCAACAAAUUCUCCUUAGCAACAUAAAGCAAUUAGUGACUCUACGAAGAUAAAAUUUGUUAAUGUAAUAUGUAUUGUGGAUCAAAAAAUAAUCAAGAAAAUCAUGGAGGCAACACGUGGAUUUUUGGGUAAAGAAGACAAAAUUAUCCUUGGGGCACACGAGGAUUUCCACGUGCAUGCAACAGACAAUAACGGCUCAAUCGAGGUCAAAGGUGAUCAAAAUGGUAUUCUUUUAAACCCUCUCAUCACUCCUCAUAUCUUCACCCAUAAGAUAACUCCCAAUUAUUUUUUUUCAAAUUGGGAUUAAUUACCUAAAUUAAUUAUAAUUAUCUAAUUGAUUGAUUAAUUGCCUAAAGUAAUUGCAAGAUAUUAUUUCCAUAAUAUCUUGUAAUCAAUCCCACAAAUCAACCAAAUGUGGUUGGUCCCAAUUCUCCUAACAGUGCCGACCACACCCUUAUAUAUAGCCACUCAUUUUCUCCAAAACCUAAGUCCAAUUCUCUUCUAAAAUUCUCCAAAUUUAUCUAAACACUUUCUCUGUCAAAUUCUAACUUUGGCAUUGGAGGUUCUUCGGCCAAGGCCCCCCCUCUCAAUUCAUCUUGGGCGCGCGAGACUCUUGGCCUUGACCUAAGGUGUUAAUGGUUUUGCAGGUGCAUUUUUGUCCAAGAAGAAGAAGGCGGAAAUUUGUAUCCACAC